GUGGCCUAGUUGUUAGAGCGUCCGCCUCGGAUGUGGGAGGUCGAGGGUUCGAACUCCGGACGACUCA